rnacentral:rRNA from 1 species
GAGGGAAGAGCCCAAGAUUGAAAGCUGGCGUCUUCGGCGUCCGCAUUGUAAUCUCAAGAAGUGUUUUCCGCUUCGGACCAUGCCUAAGUCCCUUGGAAAAGGGCAUCAUAGAGGGUGAUAAUCCCGUACAUGGCAUGGAGCGCCCGAAGCUUUGUGAUACGCUUUCUAAGAGUCGAGUUGUUUGGGAAUGCAGCUCAAAAUGGGUGGUAAAUGCCAUCUAAGGCUAAAUAUUGGGGAGAGACCGAUAGCGAACAAGUACAGUGAUGGAAAGAUGAAAAGAACUUUGAAAAGAGAGUUAAACAGUACGUGAAAUUGCCAAAAGGGAAGGGUAGGAGGUCAGAGAUGCGGCCUGGGAUUCAGCCUUGCUUUUGCUUGGUGUUUUUCCCAGAUUGCAGGCCAACGUCGGUUUUGGGCACUGGAGAAGGGUAGGAGGAACGUGGCACCUCUCGGGGUGUGUUAUAGCCUCCUACUGGAUACAGCGACCGAGACCGAGGACAGCAGCGUACUCGCAAGAGCGGGCCUUCGGGCACCUUUACGCUUAGGGCGUUGGCAUAAUGGCCCUCUACCACCCGUCUUGA